rnacentral:lncRNA from 1 species
ACUAUCGGCUAGAGGUACAGCUUGCAUAUUUAGUCGACUUUGCCCAAUUUUUAUCACGGCUUGCUUUGCAUUUCACUUUGUGGUAUUCCAUCUUAGUCUUACACUACACUGGAAUCACUUUUUUCAAGGACAUCUUCUUGUCCCCCGGUUGUGUACCUCUAGUCUGUCCAAUCAUGGGUGGCGUAGCAAAUACUACAAGCUAGAGCUUACAUGUUUGGUGAAUUCAGCUCAUUUUAUUCCAUUUUUGACUCAUGAAUAACCUUACUAUACAUUCUAUGUUGUUAGUCAUAGACAGCUGUUGAGUCCAUAGGUAUAUUCCUGUGCCUUGCAAUCUUUUUCAUCUGGCUAGUAGGAUCUUGGAUUACUCAGAUCUUAGAUUACUUAGAGAAUACUACCAGCCAGAGGUGCUACCUACCUAUGUGAAGUAAGCGUGAAAUCAUGACAAUAUUAUGUUUCAAAUGAAUUUAAGGCAAACAAAUUUUAAACUAGUCUGAUCUGUAUGUUCUUUGGUCGUGUUUUAGAUGAAUUUAACUUGAAACUCAUUUCAGACUUGAGCAUGUCAACCAGAUAUACUGAAGUUUGUCGUGUAUUAUUCUGCCUAAGUAUGUGUGGAAUUUUUCAGAAUGGAAUAGUCCCUAUUUUCAUGAUAGUUGUGUUUGAUUAGAAGUAUUGAUAACAAGGCCAAACAUUGUUUGAAAUACUAAGCUAGCUAUAGGUAUAGUGAGAGGAUAAUAUGAUUUUAAUUCACCAAAAUUACAUUUUUCAUUUGAAUUUUCAUUGCUAUGUAACAGCUUGUAUGACUGUGCAAAAACCUCCAGGUAAGUUAUUCUUGAUAAUAUAAAAUGUACUUUUACUUUAGAAUUUAUACAGUUAAAUAAAUGAAGCUAGCCUGUGUCUGUCCUAAUAAUUAUGUUUUUCAUUUUAAAUUGAUUGCCAUUUAAAAUGGAAUAAAGCAUUCUUAUUUGAACAGCAACCAGUAAUCCUUUACUUAUUGCCCAAUACUGCCCACUCCCAAAGGGUGAACCUUGAAAUGUGCUUUAGACUAAGCUGAUUCCCCAUAUACAGUCAGAUUUGAUGCUUAUAGUUUGUGAGCUGUGCUAUCAAAUAAGUGGUGGUAGAUCCACACAGAAGGUCUCAGGUAUCUCCUCUGAAACCCCAUCUCCCCAUCACCUUCCAUGCCUAAUUUCGAUUGUAGAGAAGUUAAAUGUUAAGCAAGCCAUGGUAAAAAUUGAGCCAAGUCAACUAACUAUACAAGCUGUACCUCUAGCUGAUAGUAUUUUCUAGGCCCUUAAGAUCCUACCAGCGAGAGGUACAAGACUUGAAAAAAUAAAAUAAAAUAGAUAAAAAUUGAAUGUAAGGGUAUUCUUGAAAAAAGUGAUUCCAAUUGAGUGCAAGACUCUCCUCGUUCAUGUUAAAACAACACCCUGAGAAAUAAUAAUAGUAAUAGUAAUGAUAAUAAUAAAACAAAGCUGUGGUUUUCGGAAUUUUGAUGAUACAGACCAAAAAGCGGGAGUUAGAUGUAAAUUUCCCAUCAGCACAGGUAAUGAAAUCAGUUGCCCCAGAAUUUUAUUACUGAUUUUGGAAGUCCAGUGAUGGCUUUCACUGCCCAUAUAGGAAUAAUGAUCAGAAGUGGUUGCUCAUUGAAGAUAUUGGGCCUUUAAAUACCCUUAUUUUUGGACUUGGUCAAAACCAGAAAAAGUUGUCUUUAUACUCAAGGGAGAUAUAAGGGUAGAAAUGAAAUGAGAAAGUUAAAACAGUUCAAAGUUCUUGAAGCCUGAUAGAUGUAGAACACAACCCAGUUGAUUGAAUUUGCAGAUGACUUCGGUUUGUCACAGCAGCAAGGCAAAGUUAGCUAAUAAUUAUGCAAAAAAUGCAGGAAAAUUGGUUUUCCCAGGGAGACCCUUUAUCUCCCAGGGAAUUAAAUAUUUUGAUCUUUAAUUUUCACAUAUUUGUUAAUUCAUGAUGGUUAGCAUUUGUGCCAGGUUCUGCCUGGUUUUCUCGUGGACAUGCUCUUAAACAAAUAUUUACCCAAGAGGUGGGAGAAAGGAGGCAGGUUUUGUUUCAAAAUGCCUUGCACUGGAGAAAAUUCAGGGACCCUCAGUAAGAAAAGAAGUCACUUUAAGUUGUGUUAAUAAGUAAAAAAGGCCACUACACAUUAACAUGGGCUAAACCAUCUCCUUAUGGUUAGAAAUUAAUUUGAUUUGGUCAACAUGAUCAGACUUUUGGGGAUUGUUUUCUUAAAUUCAUCAUAGGUGAGCAAAGCUCUUGUAAAGGCCAACAUAAUUUGUGCAACAAAUUUGAACAAGGCUUCCCACUUUUAUAGAAUGCUAUCCCUCUUAGACGGGCAUUUUCUUAACUUUGAUUCUCUCCUCCAGUGUAGCCGUGGGGAAAUAAGAACUUCAGUUGGGUCCCCUCCCUUGUACAGGGUCUGCCCUCAGGGAUAGCCAAGGAUAGGUGCAUAACUUUAUUUUCCAGUUCACUAUGUAAACAAUAUAUCAAUUAUUUUAAUAGGCUAAUCAAAUGCAACAGUAAAUACAGAAAACGCAGAGUCGACAAAAAGUAGUUCAAUCAGGCAUCACUUUUACUGGAAAGAUGCCCAGGAAAAGCAAGGGAGUGCAUCUGGAAUUUGAUGGGAUUCCCUUCAUCAUCCUUGGCCAUAACCUUUUGGAGUGCCAAAAUGGUCCAGAUAGGAACAGGCCACUAAAAGAAAAACAGUCAACAAGCAAGAAGAGUGACCUGCCUUCCCUGAGAAGAACUAUAUCAACAGCUGACAGACACAGUGGCAAAGUGAUUACACAUGCUUGUCUCACAAGCACAGAGAACAAUGAAAUCAACAAACAUCACCUCGGUAAAAUUGCAGCUCUUUCACAUUUACAAGUUUUUGUCAACAUUACGUGAUUGGGGUUAAAGCCAAAUUACAGAACUGAUAUGUUUUCACUUUAAGAAAAGCUUUAUGUAAUGUUCCUCUAUUAAACAUUGUUUUGACAGGAAAAAUAUCUUGGUAAAGGUAAAUGUUGAGGUUCAAGUCAAAGGAUAGGAUAAUUUUUUUUAUUACUUAUGUACACAACAUGUUGCUACUGUCGCACUUCUUGUCAUCUCCUUCAUGAGAGCUACUACUGACUGAGGAAAAAUAUCAUUUCCCUGUGGAAAAACUUGUGAAAGCUUGAUCUGCAAAUGAUUAACAUUGACACUCAAAUCUUCAACUGCAACAACGGGAGACCCUAAAAGCUGGAACAGCGGAAUGGCGGAAAAUGACUCCAAAUCUUAAAGCAUGGAACGGCGGAAAAUGACCCCAAAUCCUAAAACAUGGAACGGCCGAAAAUGACCCCAAAUCCUAAAACACUGAAUGGUGGAAAAUAAACCCAAAUUCUAAAACACAGAACAGCGGGAAAUGACCCCAAAUUAUAAAACACGGAACGGAUGUCCGGCACGUUGCACAAAUUUUGUACAAAGACACUCAAGCGCUUGGCUCACUUAUCCCCACGACAACAACGCGCGUGACUAAAAAUUAAGUGUUAUUAAAAUUUUUUUCUUUUA